rnacentral:lncRNA from 1 species
CAUUUGAUUUAUAUGCGCACACCAAUUUACUACAUAAUAAUAACUGAUUUCUUAGUUAUUUAAUAUAAAAUUAUUAUUUUAUUAUUUCAUAAUAUGCAGAAAAAUAUAAAAUAAAUAAUAAAUAUAAAAUAUUUAUUCUACACAAGGCGCAUAUAUUAACCUAAGUAUAUAUCUCUUUAAUAAUUUUAAAUCUCAAACAUUUUCUAAAUCUCAGGCCAAAACAAAAUAACGAAAUGAG